GAUGAACGCUGGCGGCGUGCCUAAUACAUGCAAGUCGAGCGAACGGACGAGAAGCUUGCUUUUCUGAUGUUAGCGGCGGACGGGUGAGUAACACGUGGAUAACCUACCUAUAAGACUGGGAUAACUUCGGGAAACCGGAGCUAAUACCGGAUAAUAUUUUGAACCGCAUGGUUCAAAAGUGAAAGACGGUCUUGCUGUCACUUAUAGAUGGAUCCGCGCUGCAUUAGCUAGCUGGUAAGGUAACGGCUUACCAAGGCAACGAUGCAUAGCCGACCUGAGAGGGUGAUCGGCCACACUGGAACUGAGACACGGUCCAGACUCCUACGGGAGGCAGCAGUAGGGAAUCUUCCGCAAAGGGCGAAAGCCUGACGGAGCAACGCCGCGUGAGUGAUGAAGGUCUUCGGAUCGUAAAACUCUGUUAUUAGGGAAGAACAUAUGUGUAAGUAACUGUGCACAUCUUGACGGUACCUAAUCAGAAAGCCACGGCUAACUACGUG
rnacentral:rRNA from 1 species